AUAGGAGCGGGUAUCAGGCACAACUUUUCCGCCCAUAACACCUAGCCUCGCCACACCCACAAGGGAAUUCAGCAGUGAUAAACAUUGAGCAUAAGCGAUAGCUUGACUCAGUUAAAUUAAACAGAGCCGGCCAAUCUGGUGCCAGCCGCCGCGGUUACACCACUGUGGCUCAAAUUGACUUCUUUCGGCGUAAAGCGUGCUUAAAGCCUAAAAUUUCUUGGAAUUAAACUGAAACUAAGCUGUGACACGCUUGUUACUCAAGAAAACCAAAAACGAAAGUUAUUCCAAUUUUUUCAACUUGAAUUCACGACAACUAGGAAACAAACUGGGAUUAGAUACCCCACUAUGCCUAGUCGUAAACUUUAAUCUACUCCCACAUCGCCCGGGAACUACGAGCUAAGCUUAAAACCCAAAGGACUUGACGGUACCCCAUAUCCCCCUAGAGGAGCCUGUCCUAUAAUCGAUAACCCCCGUUUAACCUCACCAUUUUUUGCCAGUCAGCCUGUAUACCUCCGUCGUCAGCUUACCACGUGAGCGUCAGUGAGCCUAAUGUUUCUCCAACUACACGUCAGGUCAAGGUGCAACAUAUAAAAUGGGAAGAGAUGGGCUACACUUUCUACCAUAGAAUAAACGAAAGACUAA
rnacentral:rRNA from 1 species